UGUGCAUGAGUUUCUGCUGCAACAGAGAU
rnacentral:piRNA from 1 species